rnacentral:rRNA from 1 species
AAUCAACGCUGGCGGCGUGCCUAACACAUGCAAGUCGAACGCGAAAGGGGACUUCGGUUCCUGAGUAGAGUGGCGUACGGGUGAGUAACGCGUGGGUCAUCUGCCCUCGGGUGGGGAAUAACUAAUCGAAGGUUAGCUAAUACCGCAUAACACAGUGAUGUCAAAGCAGCAAUGUGCCUGAGGAGGAGCCUGCGUCUGAUUAGGUAGUUGGUGGGGUAACGGCCGUACCAAGCCUGCGAUCAGUAGCUGGUCUGAGAGGACGGCCAGCCACAAUGGCACUGAAACACGGGCCAUACUCCUACGGGAGGCAGCAGUGGGGAAUUUUG